UGGAGAAACAGCUCACCUCCAUCAGCUCUGUGACCCCCCACUGCUAUAUCAUCAUUUCAGCAAUUCACAAAGAUACUGCACUGGGAUGGUUUUCAGCUGCAGUCAUGGCUUUGCUUCUAAUGAGUAUUAUUGCUGGAAGAAGAAAAUCCAUGAAACUCCCAUGACAAGAAAACACCUCAGCAUAGCAAAUAUAAAAGGAAGAGUCACUGAUGCAACUGACCAAGGCUACCACUGUGGAAAUUCUCCAGUUGGCAUGGGAUGUCAGAGUGGAGAGGAAAGAGCACAUCAGGCAAUAUGGGAAGCUAGUUUUUCUUUAGUUAUUUAUUUAUGUCUUCUUCCUAGUGCAUCCUCUGUAGGGCUUAACCAUGAAAAAUAAACUCUAGACCAUAUGGACAAGCAGAGCAGUGGUAAAACAGAACUUAGAAAAAAAAUCUUAUAUUAAAUAUGCAGUGUAUCUGUAGGACACCAAAGCAAGGU
rnacentral:lncRNA from 1 species